rnacentral:lncRNA from 1 species
ACCCAACCAAGUCUACGACGCCGCCGAGCUCUACCUCCCAUCCAUCGAGUUGAUCAAUCCCUCCACUCGUACUAUCGGCGUCAGCAAAACACCGCGGCAAGAAGCCGUCAAGCUUGCCAUGGAAAGCGGUGAGCAGAUCGCCGACACCUUUGAGGACAUUAACCUCAACUGGCUCUACGUGGUCCAAACAUUCCCGAGCGGCCAGGUAACACGUCGCUUCGAGCUAACCUUCCACAAGAAACACAAAGACAAAGUCCUGACCUCCUACUUGCGCCAUGUGGUUACUCGGGCUGAAGCCAUUAAAAAAGAGGAAAAGAUUCUCAAACUUCGUAGCGUUAACUCACCAUCACGAGUGGAUCUGGAGCACCCAGCCACGUUCGAGACGAUCGCCAUGGGGCCCGACCAGAAGACAAAGAUUAUAAAGGACUUGGACAGGUUUGUGAGGAGGAGGGAGUUUUAUAAGAAGGUGGGCAAGGCUUGGAAAAGAGGCUACUUAUUGUAUGGCCCUCCUGGGACUGGCAAAUCCAGCUUGAUUGCAGCCAUGGCUAAUCAUCUCAAGUUUGACGUGUAUGAAUUGGAGCUUGAUGGUAUUUACAGUGACUCUCAAUUGAAGAGCGUGUUACUGUCCACUGCAAAUCGUUCUAUUUUGGUCAUUGAGGAUAUUGAUUUCAGCGCCGUUAAUGCGCGAAAACGAAAGUGCGGGGUUAGUACCUACCUAUACCUACCUAAAUUUUUCUGUGAAUUAGGUGUUCGAUAAUUUUUGGUUUAUUUUUUGGUGUAACAUAGUAAAAAUUUAAUUACUAUGCUGAUAUUUGCAGAUCACGGUCUCAGGCCUGCUAAACUUCAUGGAUGGUCUGUGGUCGAGCUGCGGUGACGAGAGAAUUAUUGUGUUCACAACAAACCACAAGGAUCGGCUUGAGCCUGCAUUACUGCGUCCUGGUCGAAUGGACGUCCACAUUCACAUGUCCUAUUGCACUCCGCAUGCGUUUAAGGUUUUGGCCUCCAACUACCUUGGUGUUCAGGACUUGGACCGUCAUCCUCUUUAUGGAGAAAUCGCGGGGUUGCUAGAGAGCACAGAGGUCGCCCCUGCUGAGGUUUGUGAGGAGCUAUUGAAGAGAGAUGAUGAUGUUGACGAUGAUGAUGUUGAUGCUGCUCUCGAAGGAGUUGUCAAAUUUCUCAAACUCAAGAAGCUUGAAGGGGAUAAUAAUAAUAUUGAUGAACCAGAAUUUCAAGAAGGAAAAAGGCAGGAUGUGGAUGUCAGUGUUAACGAUGACGACAGUGAGAGCUCAAGCACCUGAAAUAAUCGACCAUAGCUUUAUCUAGCUAGGCAGUAGAAUAAGUUGCAUCUUCCGAUGGCCUAGCUAGUCCCUUUGGCUUUAAGUACUUUUGUCUUUGAGUUUAAGUACUUUUGUAUUUGGUUUUGUUUGGUGUUAUGUUUCUCCUUUCUGUUUGGCUAUCCUUGCGGGGUGCUAUGCUAUCCUUGUUAUGGUUAUUAUAUGUCCUCGUCUCGCUCUCCUUCUAGCAGAAUUGAUAGGGGUAGAUGGUCCUGGUAUUUAUCCAGAAAAUUUGGUGGGCCGAAAAUGAAAUUUCACAUGUUGAGAUUUACACAAUUUGCAUAUUUUUAUAGAAUUUGAGCUCGGAAUUUUGGAUUGUGAAAUCCCCUAAUAUUGCUCGCAUGCAAUUUGCAAAAUACUGAGUUGAUAGUAUUGGAAAUGCUGCAAAAUGCUCCGUUUUCCAUGAGUGAAAUCCCGAUUUCUGCUCAUAUCCCAUCUUUUUCCCCUCAUCCAAACACUGGCUGCUAUUUGAAAUGCAAUAAUCCAAAGUGGAGAAAUUAUGUGGAAGAAGUCGUCUUCGUCCCUAUUGCUAUGCAAAUGUGUAUGGCCGACCAGCAUGCACAUGUCCAUUUGGCUUUUUGUGGUUCCAUGUCUUUUGCAAGGGAUUGUGGGGUCUACCCAAACCUGAAUUUUUUUUCUUCUUUUUGUUCUUGCAAAUCAAGCAACCUCAACUAUAUAUAUAACCAAAUUUUGAUAGAAACAAAAAAAAAAUCCACCCAACAGGAGCAUCCUCCUUCUUCUCAACCUCUGCCUCCCUUGCCUUGCAUCCAUCCAUCCGCCAUGAAUUAUCAUCAUGGCCUUACUUUGAUCAUCCGCGAGGAGGGCUCGCCAUCCAACCAAGUCUACGACGCCGCCCACCUCUACCUCCCAAGCAUUCAAUUGAUCAAUCCCUCCACUCGGACCAUCGGAGUCACCAAAACACCGCGCAGAGAAACGGUCAAGCUCGCCAUUGAAAGCGGUGAGCAAGUCCCCGACACCUUUGACUGCAUUGACCUGAACUGGCUUUACGUGGUCGAAAAAUGUCCGGACGGCUGUGUUGAACGUCGCUUUGAGCUGACGUUUCAAAAGGAACACAAAGACAAAGUCAUGACCUUCUACUUGGCCUAUGUUGUUCGUCGCGCCGAAGUCAUUAAACAAGAGAGCAAGAUUCUCAACCUCCGCAAAGUUAACUCAUACGACCAAGUCGAAUUCGAGCACCCGGCUACGUUUGAGACGAUAGCCAUGGAGCCCGGCCUAAAGCGAAAGAUUAUAAAGGAUUUGGAGAGGUUUGUGAGCAGGAGGGAGUUUUAUAAGAAGGUGGGCAAGGCUUGGAAAAGAGGCUACUUGUUGUAUGGCCCACCUGGCACUGGAAAAUCCAGCUUGAUUGCAGCCAUAGCUAAUUAUCUCAAGUUUGAUGUGUUUGAAUUGGAGCUUGAUGCUAUUGACAGUGACUCUGGGUUGAAGAAGGCGUUGCUUUCCACUACAAAUCGUUCCAUUUUGGUGAUUGAGGAUAUUGAUUGUUCCGUCAAUAAAGAUAAGGAAAACCGGGUCAGUACCUACUCUUUGUUUGUAAAAUUUUAUACUAAGCGACACCGGGGAAUCGAAUCUAGAAACUUGGAUCCUGCGCUGAAUUUUUAUUUUUAUUAAUUAGUAUAUUUGAUAGUUUUGUGAUUUUGUUCUGUAAAUAAUAAAGAUUAAUAUUAUAUGUUGAUAUUUGCAUGCAUGCAGUUCACACUGUCAGGCCUACUAAACUUCAUGGAUGGUUUGUGGUCAAGUUGCGGAGAUGAGAGAAUUAUUGUGUUCACAACAAACCACAAGGAUCGGCUUGACCCUGCAUUGUUGCGUCCUGGCAGAAUGGAUGUCCACAUUUACAUGGGUUAUUGCACCCCAAGUGCGUUUAAGGUUUUGGCCUCCAACUACCUUGGCAUUCCUGACUUGGACGGUCAUGGCCUUUACGGAGAAAUCGUAGGCUUGCUAGAGAGCACAAAGGUUACCCCUGCUGAGAUUUGUGAGGAACUACUGAAGACAAAUGAUGAGGAUGAUGAUGAAGAUGCUGAUGCUGCUCUCGAAAGACUUGUCGACUUUUUCAAACUCAAGAAGCUUGAAGGUGAUAAACCCGAAAUUGAAGAGGCAAAAAAGCAGAAAAUGGAUGUCGAUGUUAAUAAUGUUAAUAUUUUCAAGAGAGAAACUGAAGAAGAAAGAAGGGAGGAAAUGGAUGUCAAAGUGAAUGAUGACAUAGAAAAUAAAUGAUGGUGAUAUAUAGAUGCUGGAAAGUGUUUGGUAGCAAAAAUCAGUUGUAUAAUAUAUAUGUAUUAAUUAAUCUUCUUCAUUAUAAUGGAAAAAGGUUGAAUUAAUCAUUCCAUGGUUAAUUGUGGUAAGGUAGUCGAGAAAAAGGGAGGCAAAGAGAAGCGAACAAAUGAAGGUACUGGGCGUGAAAUUUCUGUGCAACCAAAUGAAGGCUUUUUUUGUUUGUUGCGCAUGUAAAUGGUUAGAAAAGAGUCAAGCAUGAUCAUGAUUCAUGAUUCAUGAUAGGAGAAAACUAGUACCCACCCCGCCUCCUACGUUCACUUCACAUGAUCAUGAUUCAUGAUAGGAGAAAAAGAGUCAAGCAUUUGUAUUGUUAUUGUACCAAAAAUAAUCAAUCAAAUAUUUAUCCAAAACACGAGGAAAGGGAUUGUGUGCACGCGGUUUUGGGUCUAAACUUGCAAAUUAAGCCACCCCUCACGUAAAUAUCCCCUACUUUGAUCCAAUUUCAAUUUGUAAAAGAUGUGACUAGAGAAAGUCAAAUAUAAGGAUAUAUGGUGAAUUUCUGAUAUAUUAUUUUUCUCUUAGAGGAGGUGUAUAUAUAUAGUGUACAAUGUCUUUUUACCCAAGGAAAAGAUAAAAGUUAAUCCUAAUAGAACAAGUAAUACAAUAUUUACAAGAAUCUUUAUAUUAAUUUCCUAUCUAAAAUAGGACUCACGCCAACACUCCCCCUCAAGUUGAUGCGUAGAUGUCACCAAUGCCCAACUUGUCAAGUGAGUCACUAAAUACAUGGCUAGACACUGCUUUAGUCAAAAUAUCUGCAAGUUGUUCCUCUGAUUUCACAUGUGGUACACUAAUCACAUUGCUUUCCAAUUUUUCAUUAAUAAAAUGUCUAUCAAUCUCCACAUGUUUGGUACGAUCAUGUUGGACUGGAUUAUUAGCUAUGUCGAUUGCAGCUUGAUUAUCACAAUACAAUUUCAUGGCAUCUUUAGCCACGAAGCCCAAUUCCUUUAAUAAUUUCCGAAUCCACAACAUCUCACAUACGCCAUGAACCAUGCUUUGAUACUUAGCUUCCGCACUGGACAAAGAACAAACCUUCUGUUUCUUGCUUCGCCAAGUAACAAGGUUACCACCCACAAAUGUAAAAUAACCUGAUGUUGAACGCCUAUCAGUUCGAUUUCCUGCCCAAUCGGCAUCUGUAAAACCUUCAAUUUCCCAAUUUCCAUGUUUUGAGAACAUCAGCCCUUUGCCAGGUGCAGACUUUAGAUACUGUAAAAUUCGCAUAACUGCUUCCAUAUGAACUUCACUAGGCGAAUGUAUAAAUUGACUCACAACACUAACAGCAUAAGCAAUAUCUGGCUUGGUGUGAGAUAAAUAAAUAAGUCUUCCAACUAACCUCUGAUAUCUGUCUUUAUUAGUUGGAACUUGAUCUGGAAGAAUCUCAAGAUUAUGGUUCUGCACAAUAGGAGUAUCAGCAGGUUUACACCCAAGCAUCCCAGUUUCAUUCAAUAAAUCUAACACAUAUUUUCUUUGUGACAAGAAAAUACCAUGUUGAGAUCUAGCCACUUCAAUUCCCAAAAAAUAUUUCAACCCUCCAAGAUCCUUCAUCUCAAACUCAGUUGAUAAAUAAUGUUUCAAUUUAUCAAUCUCUUCUGUAUCAUCACCUGUUAUUAUCAUAUCAUCAACAUAUAUAAUUAAAACAGUGAUCUUCCCUUUCCUCCUCUUCAGAAACAAAGUAUGAUCUGCAUUGCUUUGACGAUAACCGUAUUUCUUCAUGGCAUAACUGAAUUUGCCAAACCAAGCUCUAGGAGACUGCUUCAACCCAUAGAGUGACUUCCUCAACUUGCACACCAAAUUUGGAUUUUCAGAUAGAUCAAAUCCUGGAGGUAGGCUCAUAUAAACUUCUUCCUUCAAUUCUCCAUGUAGGAAAGCAUUUUUCACAUCAAAUUGUUGGAGUGGCCAAUCUAAAUUUGCUGCAAGCGAUAUUAGAACACGAACUGUGUUUAUUUUUGCAACUGGUGCAAAAGUUUCCUAAUAAUCAACACCAUAUGUCUGAGUAUAUCCUUUGGCAACCAAUCUCGCCUUGUAUCUAUCAAUGGUACCAUCUACCUUGUGUUUAAUUGUGAAAAUCCAUCUGCAUCCAACUGGUCGUUUUCCUUGUGGCAAUGAAACUAAAUCCCAAGUUUGAUUUUUUUUCAAAGCCAACAUCUCUUCAUCCAUAGCUUUCUUCCAUUGAGGAGCAGCCAAAGCAUCUUGCACUUUAGAUGGAAUAAAUUCAGUUGUCAUAUGAUUAGCAAAAACUGCACAUGCUUCAGAUAAUCGAUGAGUAGAGACAUAGUUUGCAAUUGGGUAGUUCGACUUCUUUAAAUUUUCAGGUGAAAAACGAUCUGGUGGAAUUCCUCUAUUACGUCUGGGAGGCAAUUGAUACCUUGUUUCUGCAACACUAUCAAUAUCAUUUGUAAUUAAAUUGUCAGUAUUAAUCAAAUUUGGUUAUGUACUUACCUCAGGGUUAUUCGAAGCCUCAGGAAUUUGGACAAGUACUGUUGGUGUAGAAGAGGGAGAACAAUUAUGUGGGAUAUGUGGAGUUGCAGGGAACAAAGUGGGGUUAGCAACAUGUGACGCCAGGUCCUCAACGGACGUGACUGCAUUUUCUUUUUCAUUGCAGAUCACUUCUUCUCUUUCUAUGAUAAUAUCAGGUAACAUAAUUGUCCAAUUCCAAUUCUGCUCUUCAAUAUUCUCAUUCUCCCCCUGAAGAGGAGGGUUGGAUUCAUGAUGAAAUACAUGGACAAGUCUGAGAAAGUGAUAUCCAUUGUGACAUACGUACGCUUUGUCGGAGGAUGGUAGCAUCGAUAUCCUUUGGAAUAUGGGGAGAAACCCACAAACACACAUUUAAGAGCACAUGGAUCCAAUUUAGACCGUAGGUGUUUAAGGAUGUGAACGUAGGCUAUACAACCAAAACUACGGGGAUGGAGAGUCAGGACUGACGGUAGGGGAUGUGUCGAAGUCAAAACAUCCAGUGGUGUCUUGUAUCCAUGGACAGAAGAGGGCAUACGAUUUAAUAAAUACACUGCAUAUAAUAUAGCAUCACUCCAAAACAUCUUAGGCAUAUGAGCUUCUAUCAAAAUACUCAUGGCCGUCUCAAGAAUAUGAUGAUUUUUCCGUUCAGCAACCCCAUUUUGUUGAGGGGUAUAGGGACAUGUAGUUUCAUGGAGAAGACCGUUAUCCUGAAAGAAAGACACAAAAUCAUGACUCACAUAUUCACCUCCAUUAUCUGAUUGCAGAAACUGAAUUUUUUUGGAGAAUUGUGUCUGAACCAUCUGAUAAAAUUGCUUGAAGAGACCAAAAACCUCACUUUUAUUUUUCAUAAAAUAUAUCCAUGUCAUUCUCGUAUAAUUAUCAACGAAAGUCACAAACCAUCUAAUGCCAGAGAUUGUAGAGACUGGGGAAGGACCCCAUACAUCAGAAUGAAUAAGAGCAAAAGGUUUAUCAUUCUUAUUGAAACUAAUAGGGUAUGAAACACGGUGACUCUUGGCAAGAAUACAAGUUUCACACUGAAGACUAGAAAUAUCGAAAUCCAAAAAUAAAGCUGGAAAUAAAUGUUUUAAAUAACCAAAAGAAGCAUGUCCUAAACGCCAAUGCCAUAACCAAAUUUGUAUCUUCUUGUCUGCAGCUGAGUCAUGAGCAAUAAGGGCCUUUCCCGUGCAAACAUCAUCCACAUAAUAUAGUCCUCCUCUCUUAGUACCACGCCCAAUUAUUUCCUGGGUUCGAAUAUCCUGAAGAAGGCAAAACAAGGGAUGGAUUAAUACAAAACAAUUUAAUUGUUCAGUCACUUGUCCAACAGAUAAUAAAUUCUGAGAUAAAGAAGGAACAAGAAGAACAUGUUCCAAAGUUAAAUUUGGAGAAAGAUCAACUGUGCCUGCCCCAAUCACAGGGUAGGAUUGGUCAUUCGCAUUCGCCAUACUAGUAAGGCUAGGAGUAGUACGAGUCUUCAAAUUUGUCGAGUCAAAUGUCAUGUGAUUUGAAGCACCUGAAUCAAUAAUCCAACCAGAACCAAUACCUAAGCCAGUAGCAGCAGCAAAAGCACUAUCUGAUGUAUUAGAAGAAGUGCCCGAAUCACCUGUAGGGAGGGCGACAAAACCUGGAGGAACAAUGGAGGAGGAGACAGAUGGCAUAUGGGAAGCUUGUGGGACAGAAGGGUCGGGAGAUCCUAUGCAGAGUGCGACCUUGCCUUGUGCGUAUCGUUCAGCGGCUACUUUGGCCUUGUUACGCUCCUUGACUUCAUCCCACCAUUCUGGAUAGCCAUGUAAUUUAAAACAAUCAGUUACAAAGUGAUUCGUGCUAUUGCAAUGAGUACACCUUUCGCCAUUUUGAGGUUUAACUCGUUGUGGACCAUUGGGUCUUGUAGAACCUGUAGGUCCAUUAGCUGUAGAACCUACAGGUUUGUAGGAAGAGGCAGGCAUAGAGUGCCUUGUAGGUCCAUUAAUUGUAGAAUCAACAGGUUUGUAGGAAGAGGCAGGCCUGGAGUUCCUUGCUACCAUAGCAACUCCAGUGUUCACCGGGGUUGGUGGUACCAUCAUGGUGGAUCGCCGCUGGUCUUCUCGUCUGACACAUGAAAAAGCUCUCUCCAAAUUCGAAAACGGAUCCAUGCGAAGAAUAUCGCUACGAACUCUGUCAAACACAUCAUCUAAUCCAGCUAAAAAUACAUAAACCCUAUCAAUUUCAAUCUCCUGUUGACGAAGCAAAAUAUCUGAUGAAUUAGUAAAUUUAUUUGGUCGUCAAUAAUCAAUCUCAUGCCAAAUACUUUGCAAUUCUGCAUAGUAUGUGACAAGUUGUCGUCCAGACUGUUACGCCUUGAAUGCCCGACAAGUUAGCUCAUAAAUCUGUGACUGAUCUUGGCCAUCAUAGUAUGUUUUUUUAACAUUCUCCCAUACAUCUUUGGCAGUUUUGUAGGGAAGGAAAAUUUGCAUAAUAUCAGGCUCCAUAGAUUGAAUCAGCCAUCCCUUCACAAUUGCGUUUUCAGCAUACCACUUAUUGUAAUUAGAGUCUGCCAGAGCUGGUGCAGCAGAAGCGCCUGUCAGAUACCCAUAUUUUCUCUUCCCAGCAACAUGUAACUCAAGCAGUUGGGACCAUACUGAAUAAUUUGUUCCAUUCAAUUUAACAAUUGUAGGAGCAGCGGAAGAAUCAUGAUGAACAUUGACAAUUGACAUAGGCUGACCAGAACCCCCUGAGGUAAUUUGUGGUACCUCAUUGGAUUGGCCAUCUUCAUUAAACAAAUCCUGCAUAUCCCCCAUGGAGCCAAAUAACACGGCAAGAAUUAAAACAAAAUAAUAGGCAAAAAGGAAAAAAUCUGUAGCAGUAAGGGAGGUAUGCUAUUCUAAGGCAAAUAUAAACCUGGCUCUGAUACCAAGUCAAAUAUAAGGAUAUAUGGUGAAUUUCUGAUAUAUUAUUUUUCUCUCAAAGGAAGUGUAUAUAUAGUGUACAAAUCUUUUUACCCAAGGAAAAGAUAAAAGCUAAUCCUAAUAGAACAAGUAAUACAAUAUUUACAAGAACCUUUAUAUUAAUUUCCUAUCUAAAAUAGGACUCACGCCAAUAGAGAAGGUGCAUGUAUACAUUUUGACUGAUAAAAAGGCUACAGUCAAGACCAAUAGGGCGUUGUGGCUCAAGUUUUUGGUGUGCUCUCAAGUGAUCUAAGUUUAAGUCUCAUUGUACCUGUGCGUGUAAGUUUCUCAUUUCUUUUUCCGAACUUUGGCCCCAAAAAAAAAUAAAAACUAUAAUCAAGUGGUGUUGUCUUAACAAAAAUUUGGCAAAACAGUCGUUUCAAGAAUUUAUGUUGAUGGAUGUGAUCACGACAAUACUUCUUCAAAUGGUGAUGGUGAUAUAAUUCAUUUGAGCAUCUGGGUUGUUUUAGGAUUUCGACUAUAUUGAAUUCAUGGAAUUUAUUUGAGAUUAUACUUAAUUAUAUAAUGACGUGGACUAUUAAUUUUAGUAUGGUUUUUGUCGGUUUUGAUUUUGGUUUUAGAGACUUUGGUCAGAUUGGAAACCAGAAAAAAAGGCAGACUAACAAGAGGAAGGCAAGGAAGCAACCACGAACCAGCAGCUUAUGGGGUUUGAUGCAUGUCAAGGAUAUGGACCCACUCCACAGUGAAAACUUGCCGUCGAUGCAGGUGCAGCACGCGUAGGCACAAAUGCCCUGGAAAUUGUACUGGGCUAUGGCUAUCCCUCUGUCUUGUUUAUAUCAUACUUGGAGUUGUGGGGUCUACCCAAACGCUGUUGUGGGUCCAAAAACAGCUUGCAGAGUAAGCAACCUCUCAACUAUAUAUAUAUAUAUAUAUAUAUAGAAACGCCCCCACAACACCAUCCACACCUUGUUCUCAAGCUGUGCCUCUCUCUCUCUCUCUCUCUCUUUCUCUCUCUCUCUCUCCCCGUUGCUGCAUCGAUACAUCCGCCAUGAAUUUUAUCUUGGAGCUCCUGCUUCUCAUUUCCACUGCCCUCAAUUACCUUGCUACCCUUAUCUCCCCUCGUCAUGAUCUUCAUGAUCGUCAUGAGGACCUUACUUUCAUCAUUCGCCAGGACUACAGGCCACCCAACCAAGUCUACGACGCCGCCGAGCGCUACCUCCCAACCAUUAACUUAAUCAAUCCCUCCACCCGAACCAUCCAAGUGAGCAAAACGCAGCGGCAAGAGACCGUCAAGCUUGCCAUGGAAAGCGGUGAGCAAGUCCCCGACACCUUUGAGGACAUUAACCUCAACUGGCGUUACGUGGUCGAAACAUUCCGUGACGGCAGCGUAGAACAUCGCUUUGAGCUAACGUUCCAAAAGAAACACAAAGAAAAAGUCAUGAGCUCCUACUUACCCUAUGUGGUUGGUCGGGC